GAGUGUGUAGGCGUAUUGUGUGCGGCCCAUGACUUAUCGUUCGAAACAGCACAGGCGACAGAAUCUUGCACUGGUCACCCCCAUCCCCACGACGAUACCGCGGCCUGCGUGGAACAAACCAGAGCCACGCAGCGGGUCGGCUCCUCCACCCCAUCCCCAUCUGGCGAACGGCGGCGCCUGUGCUGCUCCGGCGAGGUGCCCAACAAUGGCCUCGAGCUCAACGGGUAUGUUUGCUCCCCCUCCGACCAACCCUCACUUGAACUAGCUGUCUGUUCACCGCUGCGGAUUUUAGGGAUUUCUUACCGAGUUGGCUCGGCUUCGAUUCAUGCAGGAUGUGUGUUGCGCCCGGGCCGUGGAGCAGUUCCGUCUUCCCAGUCGAGUCACAGGAUUCGAUGAGCGUCCCCAGCGUCGUGUUUGGCGCCGGCGGCGGGCGAGGUGUGCUCUGAAGCCACCAGUGGCUGGACACGCAGGUCAGUGUGCUGAUGCUCUGCCACAAUUCUUCUUUGGAGUGUCGUGCGAAGUUAGAUCUGAAUCAUGUUUAGGUUGCUAGGGGACAGAAGAGUUGAUUCGGAUUUCUGCAGCGAUUCAUAGUAAUGUUAUGCACAUAUUUGUUCUAUUUUCGGUGCUGUGCUAGUUGUACAUGUUGUGGAUCAUUUUUUUCGAAAAAUAUGCUUCUGUGUAGGAAAAUAUAGAGCUGUUUUGGAGAUUGUUGGAAGUGUGGCGACAGUGAUGUUAGCACUAAUCUAGUAGCUCUUGGAUUCAUAGUGUGGUAAUUGGAUUUUUGCAUUACUGGAGGUUUGAAAUUUACAGAGAUGUAUGUAGAUUGCAUGGGUGUCGAAUCAGCGUCGUUGUUUUGGAAAUUUUGUACUUGCAGGAUAGAUCUGAUUCGCACAGGAGUGUUGCCGGGCUGGCGGGGUGUAUUGGUUCCGUUCUACCAGUGGACUCCCAGGAUUCGAUGAGUGCCCCCAUUGUCAAGGUGGACGCGGUCGGCAAAGCACAGCCAUAAGAAACUGUGCUGAACAUCCUUCUCUCCUUCUGAUUUUGCAGCUCUUUUAGCAAGUUUGCAUAUUUAGAAAGGUUGAGCUUUGUCUAAUUACCGUAGAAGUUGAUCUGAAGCUGGUUGUUUGGCACAUAUUUCACUGCAAUUUUAGUUUGAGUGCAAUUUGGGACAAAUUUGUUUGGAUGGGUAGUAUGUUUGUUGGAUUUCCCCCCCGUGCCACAGGCAGCUUUAUGGUGUAAAUUGGGUAGUCGGAGUAGAUAACUUUUUUUACUUGGGCCAAUGGAACAUUUGUCGCUUGGACUUUGGGGGUUAGUGAUGUUGAGUUCAGAAUUGCCGUAUUUAUUUGAUGAGUUUCGCUACAGUGGAAGCCACAGGAUUUUUUUUUAUUGGUACGUGAUAAAUUUGGAGUAAAACUUUUGUGGAUUGUUUAGAGGCAAGCUGGUCGUGUUUAGGUUGUUGGUUACUUUUUAGAGGCAAUGGAACAAUGCAGUUUGCAGUUUUGGGUGUUAGUGAUGUUGGAUCCAGUAUAACCAUAUUUGUUUUAUGAGUUUUGAUCCAGUGCAAGUCAAAUGAUUGUUUUGAUUGGGAGAUGAUUGGUUUGGAGUAAAACCUUGAUGAUGGUUGUUUGGGACAAAAAUGUUCAUCAAUGUACUUGGGGUGAUUUCACACAGGAGGUUCGGUUUGAGUAUUUUCUAGAGGCAAGCUGGUUGUGCUUAGGUUGUCAGUCAAGCAGCUUGAAAGCAUGCCCACUGUCUAUGCAAAUUCACCAAUGUAGCUACUCUAUCUUGCAGGAAACUCUGUUAUCACAUAGUAACCUGAUGUUCUAUGAGCUAAUGCGGAUGCAAGGGAACCAUUCAGCGGCGGCAAGUGACUUGCUUGAGGCAAUCAAAGGGUCAUUUGUUGUUCUGUAAAACAGUUUGCCCUGUGUGGUAUAGGCAAUGUUUUGAGGGAAUAGGUAUAGGCAAUUGGAAAUGCCAUGUAACUCUUUUUCAUUCAGUUUUAAGAACCUCCACAAGAUAUUCAGUUUGGACCGUGUGCAGGGUUAAUUCAAUGCACUUUAAUUCAUGCAGCUCCCACCAAUACCUUUUUAUCUUGACUAGUGCAAUCACUAGGAUAAUGCAACACAAUGCUAAUGGAAAUUCACCGAGGAAAUUUCAGUCUACAUGCACAAACACUUGUACAC
rnacentral:lncRNA from 1 species